rnacentral:sRNA from 2 species
ACGCCGCGGUGAAUACGUUCCCGGGCCUUGUACACACCGCCCGUCACACCAUGAGAGUUUGUAACACCCGAAGCCGGUGGCGUAACCCUUUUAGGGAGCGAGCCGUCUAAGGUGGGACAAAUGAUUAGGGUGAAGUCGUAACAAGGUAGCCGUAGGAGAACCUGCGGCUGGAUCACCUCCUUUCUAAGGAAACAGACUGAAAGUCUGACGGAAACCUGCACACACGAAACUUUGUUUAGUUUUGAGGGGAUCACCCUCAAGCACCCUAACGGGUGCGACUUUGUUCUUUGAAAACUGGAUAUCAUUGUAUUAAUUGUUUUAAAUUGCCGAGAACACAGCGUAUUUGUAUGAGUUUCUGAAAAAGAAAUUCGCAUCGCAUAACCGCUGACGCAAGUCAGUACAGGUUAAGUUACAAAGGGCGCACGGUGGAUGCCUUGGCACUAGGAGCCGAUGAAGGACGGAACUAAUACCGAUAUGCUUCGGGGAGCUAUAAGUAAGCUUUGAUCCGGAGAUUUCCGAAUGGGGGAACCCAGUACACAUCAGUGUAUUGCUUGUCAGUGAAUACAUAGCUGGCCGGCGGCAGACGCGGGGAACUGAAACAUCUCAGUACCCGCAGGAAGAGAAAGAAAACUCGAUUCCCAUAGUAGCGGCGAGCGAAGUGGGAAGAGCCCAAACCGAGAAGCUUGCUUCUCGGGGUUGUAGGACUGGACAUUGGAGUUACCAAAGUCCGACGUAGUCGAAGUCAGCUGGAAAGCUGCGCCACAGAAGGUGAAAGCCCUGUAAGCGAAACGUCGAACCCUCCGUCCAGGAUCCUGAGUACGGCGGAACACGUGAAAUUCCGUCGGAAUCCGGGAGG